GGAAUUUGUAUGCAUGCGCCUGCAUACCGCAAGUAGCAACAACUUUUCACCUGUUCUUUUCUGCUCUGAUUGCGUGCCCCGGCGUUUGGGACUCAUGGAUUUCAAGUAGUGCUAGGCAAAUAACAAAAGAUCCACUGAGUCACUCCAUCAGUUAUAAGCAGCAAGACAAUAGCCUUCACUUCCCAUAUAGAUGGCUGUUUCCAGACUUCACCUCCCCAAUACCUAUUAAAAAGACCUCUCUACAGAGGAUUCUACUUUCCUGACUGGGUUCCUGGUGUCUGUGAUGGAGAAUCUGGAGGAGGGCAGGGAAGAAGACAAGUUAAUGAGAUGAGAGGCCCAAGAUGGAGCCACCCCCGCCUGGGAUGCCACUUCUGCAAACCAAUAUUUGGAUGAUUUCCAUAUCCUUGUACACAAUCCACUUAACGAAAAACAUGGUCAGCCAGUCUCCAAAUGUCAAGCCAACUCUGGACUCUUUACUUCUUUUCUUGAUGCUCUCUCCCCCAAAAAAGUUGACUAUGUGACCUCAGCCAAUCAGAUAUUUUCUGUUUUUAUCUUCCUCGUUCUUUAUUCUUUAUCCUGUAAAAGCUUCCUGCCUUAUGCCACACUUGGCAGUUCUCUGAAUGGAGACUGUCUGCUUUAUGAACUGUCAAAUAAAGGUGGUUUGUAUCACCUAAAUUGUCUUCUGUAAUCAGUUUGUUAUAACACAAGCUUCAGGAUGUAUAUUUGUAGAGAGCUAAAGCUAGCCAUCUUGCAAAAGGCCAGUCUCAAAGGGCUGCUGCUUCUGUGAAACUGGGGAAACAGCAAACAAGCUUGCCAUCCAUUCACCUAGAAUCAUAGGUGAAAAGGCAACCCACAGGAAUUUAGACCCCAGACCUGCACUACACAUGGGCCCAGCUCCUCACAAGGCACAGAGCCCCUGUACCAAGAUCAUGAGCAUUGGUUUGGCCCAGUGAAACAUGAGGGGUCCAUAUAAAGACAAAUACAAUAGUAUUCAUUAGGAUUGCUCCUCUGGCUAGACACAAAAAGCAGCCUCUAUUGGAAAUGAGCUGAUACUCAAAUAUUACAAAUCACUUAAGGAAAUGAAAAUUCCGAGACUGUUAGUAGAUAGAAUAAAUGGGGGAAUUCUAAAAAUGCAAGUAUUAGAAGUCGUGAUUGAUGAAAUCAAUCCUGAAAG